AAACUGCGAAGAGUCGGACAAUGAGCAAGAAGGUCGAGCUCCGAAAGAGGUUGCACUGCCCAAGGAGAGCACUGAUGCCAAGGUUGGGGACAAUAGUGGUGAAGGUGCAGAUUUUGGCAAUCAA
rnacentral:rRNA from 1 species